rnacentral:rRNA from 1 species
CCCUUAGAUGUUCUGGGCUGCACGCGCGCUACACUGAUGCGCUCAACGAGUUUUAACCUUGCCUGGAAAGGUUGGGUAAUCUUUUUAAAACGCAUCGUGAUGGGGAUAGAUUAUUGCAAUUAUUAAUCUUCAACGAGGAAUUCCUAGUAAGCGCGAGUCAUCAGCUCGUGCUGAUUACGUCCCUGCCCUUUGUACACACCGCCCGUCGCUCCUACCGAUUGAAUGAUCCGAUGAAUAUCAUGGACUGAGAGUGUUAGAGUUUUCGGACUUCUACACUUCUCGGGAAGUGAAGUGAAUCUUAUCAUUUAGAGGAAGGAGAAGUCGUAACA